rnacentral:misc_RNA from 1 species
AGACAUCUUUUAAGCUCGACGUCAUCGAAUCAAGAUUAUUUACCAGCCGUGAAAAGACGCUUUUACAAAGGGUGUUCCGAUAAUCACGGAGUCUAUCGUGCUAGAAACAGUUACAAGCAGCCGAGUGAUUAAAUUCAACGUUGAUCGGAAAAUGUCCGUAAAUAAUAAGAUAAUUACCUAAAACAUUAAAAAAGAAAAUAUCCCAGAAUUCUUACUGAAAGGCAAGAAGCUAUCUCUUCGGCAAAAUAAACAAAAUCGUGCUCGAACGUAAAAGGCAAAAGCACAGGAUUUCCAUGGCUGGUGAGCUGACCGAUUCUUGGGAAGAAACGGAACACUCCAUAACUGAAGUAAGACAGCAUUCUCAAACUGUGAAUAUACAUCGAGUCUCAGGGAAUAUACGCUGCCACGAGAAACCAACUAUUCAUCGACGUCAUAAUUUCUCCGAGGCGAUGUCUCAAUCUCGUCAAUGCCUCUCUGCAGGACACAUUUCUCCAACGAUCGAAGAAACCAAUUUCGGAUUGUCUCGAUUCACCGUUCACCGAUUCGUAAUUUAGUGUUUUUUUCUUUUUUCUUUUUUCAUCUAAACGGAUGAGAAAUGGAGAACGGAAGAAAAGCGGGGUCGGCUCGAGUGGGACGAAGAUAAACUUCCCGUUUCCCCGCAGACAGAGCGAGCUAACCGAAGAAAGAGAGUCGGAAGGAUGCACCGGCUCUGCUACAGAUUAGAGAUAUUUAUG